UACGGAGGGGGCGAGCGUUAUUCGGAAUUAUUGGGCGUAAAGGGCGCGUAGGCGGCUGGGCAAGUCAAAGGUGAAAUCCCUCGGCUCAACUGAGGAACUGCCUUUGAAACUGCCUGGCUUGAGGCCGGGAGGGGGUAGCGGAAUUCCCAGUGUAGCGGUGAAAUGCGUAGAUAUCGGAAGGAACACCAGUGGCGAAAGCGGCUUCCUGGUCCAGCACCGACGUUCAGGCACGAAAGCGUGGGGAGCAAACAGG
rnacentral:rRNA from 1 species